rnacentral:lncRNA from 1 species
CCUGUUCCCCUCCGCUCACCCACAAUCCCAUUGCCUCCCAUCUCUGCGACGGGCCCUGCCCCGAUCCCACCUGCCCUGCUCACUUCCCUCAUUCUCUCUCAGAGACAAGAGCUGGGGGCCAGCCUCCUCAACCCUCUGUGUGGUUCCCAGCCUUGGGGAGAGCCCCUGGAGGGCCCCGGAGGAACGGGGGCCCCCACUGAGGAGCCGAACACAAGCUCAGAGAAGCCGCAUGAAUCGCACAGCAGCUGGAAGGAGGAGAAUUCCUGGUCACUCAAAGAGAGGGAUGGUCAAAGAGCCGACGAGACGGGGACAAAGCCCCAAGACACGGCCGGACACCCAACCACCCUCUGGGGACCCCGGCCCGACGAUAGGACCCGCCCUGAUGCUGGGAGCAGCCCCAAGGAGCCAGCUGUCCAUCAGGCCUCGGAGCCUGUAAUGAGCCAACUGGUUUCGGCUGAGAGGAGGACAGGCUGGGGACAGAUCUACCCUCUCCCUUUGGCUGCCCCGAGACACAGGUAGGCUCCUUUGGGUUCCCAGCCUGGGGCCGGGCAGGGCAGCCCCUAGCCUGUUUCCUCUGAGCGUGUCUGUUUUUUCCCAGGACUCCCACCUUUUCAGGGGCCCAGCCUCCCAUCCUGGGCCUCCUGUUCCUGCUGCUGCUGCUCUCUUUCCUGGUCCUGGUCUCCUCCAGGCCUCUGGCCUGGCCCCAACUCCAGCUGCACUACCUCCAGACCCCACCAGUGUGAGCCCCGAAGUCUCUGAUCCAAUAAACUCCCUCCAUGCCCCAUCCUCGAGUGCUGUUCUUGGGGGGAGGGCGGCAGCACAGGGAGUGAGUUACUUGGGUGCUGGCAUCCUGGAACCGGGCACGGGAGCCAUCACAGC